rnacentral:lncRNA from 1 species
UGGAACUCUCUAUCUCCGACAUCCUUUAGGGGGCCUGGGGGGACAGGAGCAGCGUUGUUCUACGCCUGUGGCGUGUCCCAGCAGCCUGGUGGCUCUAAAAUACUCAGAGAAAAUCGCGUCUUCCCUCCUGGGCGCUGAAGAUGUGGCAACACGAAUUGCGUUUUAUAGGUAUGCCUGAGCGAUGCAAGGGACUGUGAACGACUUUCAGAGAGAAUGUUUGUGAAUACAUUUGGUGUGUACUAAAAAGCUGGAAACCCCUAAAUAAAUGCAGUAUCGGUAGAAAGCGAGUUUCUUGAAGAGUCACCUGCUAAACUCUACUAGCGUCAUCUCUACAGUUUCCUAUUGAAAGGAGGAGCUUUCUUAGCUGGAUAAUCAUUCAGGAAGUUGGCCUUCCUCAGACAUCUCCACUGCAUGAAACCGCCCCAAGGAACCCUGCUUGUGUUCCUUUACCUGCGCUGGAGGCCGGCAAACUGAAAACACCCCGAGGCCUCUAGUUGUGACAACACCUGUGCUUUCUCACCAAGUGAAGAAUACACUUUAUGGAAUACAAAAUAAAAAAGGUAGGGACCAGUGCUGGAAAGGCGAA